rnacentral:rRNA from 1 species
GAUGAACGCUGGCGGCGUGCCUAAUACAUGCAAGUCGAGCGAACAGAUGAGGCGCUUGCUCCUCUGACGUUAGCGGCGGACGGGUGAGUAACACGUGGAUAACCUACCUAUAAGACUGGGAUAACUUCGGGAAACCGGAGCUAAUACCGGAUAAUAUAUUGAACCGCAUGGUUCAAUAGUGAAAGACGGUUUUGCUGUCACUUAUAGAUGGAUCCGCGCCGCAUUAGCUAGUUGGUAAGGUAACGGCUUACCAAGGCAACGAUGCGUAGCCGACCUGAGAGGGUGAUCGGCCACACUGGAGCUGAGACACGGUCCAGACUCCUACGGGAGGCAGCAGUAGGGAAUCUUCCGCAAUGGGCGAAAGCCUGACGGAGCAACGCCGCGUGAGUGAUGAAGGUCUUCGGAUCGUAAAACUCUGUUAUUAGGGAAGAACAAAUGUGUAAGUAACUAUGCACGUCUUGACGGUACCUAAUCAGAAAGCCACGGCUAACUACGUG